CAGUACACUCAUCCAUAAAGUAGGAAACACUACACCCUCCAGUGCUGUUAGUAGUGCUUUCUACUUUAUGGGUGACUGCACUGU
rfam:Myotis lucifugus cont2.30758, whole genome shotgun sequence.